rnacentral:rRNA from 1 species
AGAGUUUGAUCCUGGCUCAGGACGAACGCUGGCGGCGUGCCUAAUGCAUGCAAGUCGCACGCAGAGUGCUUGCACUCUGAGUGGCGCACGGCUGAGAAACACGUGGGAACAUGCCUCCUUGUGGGGGACAACAGCGCGAAAGCGCUGCUAAUCCCGCAUACGCUCUUGUUAAGAGAGGAAAGCGGCAACGCGCAGGGAGAGUGGCCCGCGGCCCAUCAGGUCGUCGGUGGGGUAAUGGCCUACCGAGCCGGUGACGGGUAGCUGGUCUGUGAGGACAGACAGCCAGACUGGGACUGAGACACGGCCCAGACUCCUACGGGAGGCAGCAGCAAGGAAUUUUCGUCAAUGGGCGCAAGCCUGAACGAGCAACGCCGCGUGGAGGAUGACGGCCUUCGGGUUGUAAACUCCUUUUUCGGGGGACGAUAAUGACGGUACCCCGGGAAUAAGGCUCGGCUAACUCUGUGCCAGCAGCCGCGGUAAUACAGAGGAGCCAAGCGUUGUCCGGAUUGACUGGGCGUAAAGCGCACGCAGGCGGACGCGCGCGUGGGGUGUGAAAUCUGGCCGCUUAACGGCCAGGCGCCAUCCCAUACGGCGCGACUGGAGUGAUGCAGAGGUCGAUGGAAUUGCCGGUGUAGUGGUGAAAUGCGUAGAGAUCGGCAGGAACACCCAGGGGGAAACCAGUCGACUGGGCAUCUACUGACGCUGAGGUGCGAGAGCGUGGGGAGCGAACCGGAUUAGAUACCCCGGUAGUCC